rnacentral:lncRNA from 1 species
CCUACCCAAUGGGCUUCUGUCAUUUCACAAUCAUUGAGUUGACUUAAUAUGUUAUUUGAACUUUCCCUUUCAGACAGACCACAGAACAUAGCCACACUCUGGGAUAUCUCCCCUGGUUGCCAAGGUAUAAUGAAGACCAUCAGACCAUGGGAGUCCAUUUUCUCACCUUUUUCAGUUUCCUUCCUCUUAUUCCAGAUGCUCACAUUGACCUCAGGUGAGGAAGAGAUGAUGUCAAUGGAUCCGAGGUGGGAAAGAUGAUGAGGGACGUCAUUGGCUUCUGGAUGGUCCUUCACAUGUAUUUAGUACAUAUGUAUUACUCAAUUUAAUAUUAUGGUAAGUAUGAUAAAAAAUUAAGGCAGGGAAUUCAUUCCUUGAGCCCUAUUGGACAAUUUGAGUAGGAAAGGCACAAGGAUAUAAAUACUCACCGCCUCUUCUUUCCUAACCCAUUUAACACAACAAUAGCAACAGUAGGCCCUUUAAUAAAUAGUCUUUGGGGUUUUUUAGACA